AUUCCUAUUGUACAUAACGAGGCUAAUUGGUUUUUCCGAUCUAGGGUUUCCACAACCAGAGCAACGGCGACGUCAAGAGCAGCAGCAGUACCAACCAUGGUUCUCAAGUGUUCCUGUUUGCUAAUUCAAAAUGCAAUAGGUAUUUACACAACCGGUUGAAGCCAUCAAAGCUUACAUUACGUGGAUGGCCAUGUAUAGGAAGCAACAUAAGAAGGGUAUUGCUCAAGGGGCUGCAAAGAAGAGGAGAGAGACGUGUCACCAAGAAGCCUUACACUAGGUCCAUUGUUGGUGCCACCUUGGAGGUUAUCCAUAAGAGAAGAACUGAGAAGCCAGAAUUUCGUGAUGCUGCCAGGGAGGCUACUCUCCGGAUGGAUGGUACAAUGUAGUGCAAUUAAGGAAGGAUCAUGAAAACCAAAGAUGAAAAGAAGGCAAAGAAGGCAGAAAUGAUGGCUAAGGUGCAGAUGACACAGGGCAAAGGUCAUGUUCCGAAGAGUGGUGCAUCAAAGGGUCCCAAACUUGGUGGUGGCUGUGGAAAGCGUUGAGCUACUAAUCUAUUCUUUGUACUAUGCAAUUUGACAGCUAGCUUAAUCUAUUAUUUUUUCUUGCAAAAUGGAGAUGUAGGGGUAAUGUGUGUACUUUUUGGCCUUGAAAGCAUUCAUGGCAGUGUUUUUGUCCAUUUUGUUUGCCCCACAUCGUUCACCUAAAUUUGAAGUUGAGCAAUUUUAGUUAGUUCAGGAUCUAAUAUCGAUUUUUCA